UAAAAUUAUUUUAAAUAAUAUAUUAGAAAUGAAAUGUUAUUCGUUUUUAAAGGUAUCUAGUUCUUUAAGAAAUAAAUUUAAUUUAGAAAUUUUAUAUUAUUUAAUUUAUUAGAUUAAUUAAAUAAAUAUUUAAUUUUAAUAUUUUAUGGGAUAAGCUAUGAAAUAAAAUUUUAAAAAUUAUUAAUUAAAUUAAAUAAAUAUAAGCUUAUAAAUAGUUAUUAUUAAUAAAAAUGUUAUAAUUUAUUUUAUUAUAUUUAUAUAUAUAUAUAUAUUAUUUAUUUAUAUUUUAAAAUUUUUAUUAAAGUAUUUAUUUUAAUUUUAAAAAUAAAAUAAUAAUGAUAAAAUUAGUAUAUAAUUUUGUAUAAAUAAAUUUAAAUGAUAAGUUUUUAUAAAGAACUCGGCAAAAAUAAUGUUCGCCUGUUUAACAAAAACAUGUCUUUAUGAAAUUUUUUUAAAGUCUGACCUGCCCACUGAAGUAAAUUUAAAUGGCCGCAGUAUUUUGACUGUGCAAAGGUAGCAUAAUCAUUAGUCUUUUAAUUGAAGGCUAGAAUGAAUGGUUGGACGAAAUAUUAACUGUUUCAUUAAAAUUUUUAUUAGAAUUUUAUUUUUUAGUUAAAAAGCUAAAAUUUAUUUAAAAGACGAGAAGACCCUAUAAAUCUUUAUAUUUAAAUUAUAAUUAUUUUUUAGAAAUAUUUUGUUAUUAUAAUUAAUAAUAUUUUAUUGGGGUGAUAUUAAAAUUUAAUUAACUUUUAAUUUUUUUUAUCAUUAAUUUAUGAAUAAUUGAUCCGUUAUUAACGAUUAAAAAAUUAAGUUACUUUAGGGAUAACAGCGUAAUUUUUUUGGAGAGUUCAUAUCGAUAAAAAAGAUUGCGACCUCGAUGUUGGAUUAAGAUAUAUUUUUAGGUGUAGUAGCUUAAAUUUUAAGUCUGU
rnacentral:rRNA from 1 species